rnacentral:tRNA from 1 species
GGAAGGCAAUCGCGCCUGGUGGCGCGGCCGGGCUUCAAACCCGGUUGGGGACGGCAUCCGUUCCCGGGCAGGUUCGACUCCGGCUGCCUUCCGCCA